rnacentral:rRNA from 1 species
GACGAACCGUGCGAACGUUGUUCGGACUCACUGGGCUUAAAGGGCGCGUAGGCGGCUGCGCAAGUCCGGGGUGAAAGCCCCCAGCUCAACUGGGGAAGUGCCUUGGAUACUGUGCAGCUCGAGCGAGGUAGGGGUCGUGGGAACUUCCGGUGGAGCGGUGAAAUGCGUUGAUAUCGGAAGGAACGCCGGUGGCGAAAGCGCACGACUGGACCUUUUCUGACGCUGAGGCGCGAAAGCCAGGGGAGCAAACGGG